GUGCUCGCUUCCGCAGCACAUAUACUAAAAUUGGAACGAUACAGAGAAGAUUAGCAUGGCCCCUGCACAAGGAUGACACGCAAAUUCAUGAAGCAUUCCAUAGUAAA
rnacentral:snRNA from 1 species